CCUACGGGGGGCAGCAGUGGGGAAUAUUGGACAAUGGGGGCAACCCUGAUCCAGCCAUGCCGCGUGUGUGAAGAAGGCCCUCGGGUUGUAAAGCACUUUCAGUGAGGAAGAACGCCUGGUGGUUAAUACCCAUCAGGAAAGACAUCACUCACAGAAGAAGCACCGGCUAACUCCGUGCCAGCAGCCGCGGUAAUACGGAGGGUGCGAGCGUUAAUCGGAAUUACUGGGCGUAAAGCGCGCGUAGGUGGCUUGAUAAGCCGGUUGUGAAAGCCCCGGGCUCAACCUGGGAACGGCAUCCGGAACUGUCAAGCUAGAGUGCAGGAGAGGGAGGUAGAAUUCCCGGUGUAGCGGUGAAAUGCGUAGAGAUCUGGAGGAAUACCAGUGGCGAAGGCGGCCUUCUGGACUGACACUGACACUGAGGUGCGAAAGCGUGGGUAGCUAACAGGAUUAGAUACCCUAGUAGUC
rnacentral:rRNA from 1 species